rnacentral:rRNA from 1 species
UACGGAGGAUCCGAGCGUUAUCCGGAUUUAUUGGGUUUAAAGGGUGCGCAGGCGGGGGAUUAAGUCGGCGGUGAAAUUUUGCAGCUCAACUGUAAAAGUGCCUUCGAAACUGGUUUCCUUGAGUGUAGAUGAAGUAGGCGGAAUUUGUGGUGUAGCGGUGAAAUGCAUAGAUAUCACGAGGAGCUCCGAUUGCGCAGGCAGCUUACUAAACUACUACUGACGCUCAGGCACGAAGGCGUGGGGAUCAAACAGGAUUAGAUACCCUGGUA